AGAAGCAUUUAAGUCCUAGUGAGCAAGCUUAGCAAAUGCUCAAGUCACAAAACUAAGCUUGUAACGAGGAUUGAACACCAAGGCAAUGGCCAAAAUUGGACUAUAGUUCCUCCAAUAUUUGUCAAAUUUCUUUUUCGUUUCAAUUGCCAUUGGCCUCAUAAAACUAAGCCCAUGUGAUACCUCUUCUAACAAACUUUUGUGAAUCUCCCAAACAUUUUCAAAAUACAAAUUUGAUGUAGGAUACUUAGAACCUGAAAGCAAAACAGUGAUUUCAUAGAAGGGAUGCAAAAAACCCAUCAAUUUUUCAAUCUUUAACCAU